CCUACGGGAGGCAGCAGUGGGGAAUAUUGCACAAUGGGGGCAACCCUGAUGCAGCAACGCCGCGUGAGUGAAGACGUAUCUCGGUAUGUAAAGCUCUAUCAGCAGGGAAGAAAAUGACGGUACCUGACUAAGAAGCACCGUCUAAAUACGUGCCAGCGGCCGCGGUAAUACGUAGGGUGCAAGCGUUAUCCGGAUUUACUGGGUGUAAAGGGAGCGCAGUCGGCGUGGGAAGUCAGAUGUGAAAGCCCGGGGCUCAACCGCAAGACUGCAAUUGAAACUGGCGGGCUUGAGUGUCGGAGAGGCAAGUGGAAUUCGUGGUGUAGCGGUGAAAUGCGUAGAUAUUAGGAAGAACACCAAUGGCGAAGGCAGCUUGCUGGACGGCCACUGACGCUGAGGCUCGAAAGCGUGGGGAGCAAACAGGAUUAGAUACCCUUGUAGUC
rnacentral:rRNA from 1 species